rnacentral:rRNA from 1 species
GACGAACGCUGGCGGCGUGCUUAACACAUGCAAGUCGAACGAAGUGGCGAACGGGUGAGUAACGCGUAAUCAACCUGCCCUUCAGAGGGGGACAACAGUUGGAAACGACUGCUAAUACCGCAUACUGAAGGAGGGGUUUGCGUCUGAUUAGCUAGUUGGAGGGGUAACGGCCCACCAAGGCCAAGACCAGGAGCCGGUCUGAGAGGAUGAACGGGCAAAAUGGGAAUGGUACACGGCCCAGACUCCUACGGGAGGGAGCAGUGGGGAAUGUGCCGCAAUGGACGAAAGUCUGGCGGAGCAACGCCGCGUGGGUGAUGACGGCCUUCGGGUUGUAAAGCUAUGUUAAUCGGGACGCGGUACCGGAAUAGAAAGCCACGGCUAACUACGUGCCAGCAGCCGCGGUAAUAC